rnacentral:rRNA from 1 species
AUGGACGCCUCCGCUGGAGCCGGAUCCGGCAAUGCCCCUGGCGCAGGCGCCGGCGCGUCAUCUUGCUGCUACUACGCCCUGCUCGGCAUCCGUAAGAACGCCUCCUCCACCGACAUACGUGCCGCCUACCGACGGCUCGCCAUGAAGUGGCACCCGGAUCGGUGGGCGAGCGACCCCGGCGCGACGGGCGAGGCGAAGCGGCGGUUCCAGCGGAUCCAGGAGGCCUACUCCGUUUUGUCCGACAAGGGGAAGAGGGCCAUGUACGACGCCGGGCUCUUUGAUCCCCUCGACGACGACGACCAGGAUUUCUCGGACUUCAUGCAGGAGAUGCUGGUGAUGAUGGAUAGCGUGAAAAACGAGAAGCCGGACACGCUCGAAGACCUGCAGAAGAUGCUGGAUGACAUAGUCAACGGCGACGGCGGUAGCCGCGCCACUGCUGGUGCUGGUGGUAGCGGCGGCGGUGGUGGUGGCUGCGGUGGUCGCGUUCCACCGGAGGCCAACCGCAGAACUCGUGUCGCCCCUUACCCGCAGCCUUCGCGAAGGUGA